rnacentral:lncRNA from 10 species
AUGUAGGUUGGUUUCUAGCUGUGAGCUAUGGACCUGAAAUGAUAGUUAAAUCGAUGGAGAGGCACUAAGCUAUAGCCUGUGAAUCUGGGCAUCCGUAAAACCCAAUUAUUAACAGCCCUGAGUGGAUGCGUUGCACGCUGGCUCUCCCAGCUUUGACUGGGGCUCUCUCUCUCUCUCUCCAGACAGAAACGGCCCAAGAGAAAUGGAAAUAUGAUGGCUGGUUGAUUGUUUCGCAGUCUGCAUGACAGACCACCCUCCUAACAAGACUCUAGGUCAAGUGCUCUUCUCUGCCCUGUGGAUCUACUGGGGAGAAAUUAGCUCUCGGUGGUAUUUCCAAUUAUGGAGAAAAGCGAUUCCUCCCUGGUCUGGCUAUCAUGUGUUUUGCAGUGGACCAAGAGACAUGAAGCCCGUUUUCCACCCUCGCCUCUUUCUCCAUCUAGCUGCAUGACCUUGGGAGGUGGCGUGACCUCUCGGCUUCUUUGCUGCCUCAUCUGUCAUGAUCCACCUUUACUACUUCAUAGCCAUGUUCUAGGAUAAAUGAGAGAAGCCUCUACAUCUUUUAGUCUCCCAGAAAGACUGGAACCAGUGAUGAGUUCCAUGAAGACAAAGACCUGUUUAUCUUGUUCUGCUCCAGCACCGAGCAGGUACUCAGUAAGAACUUGUAGAAUUAGUGGAUGGAUGGAUAGAUGAACAGAUGAAUGGAUGGAUUAACAGAUUAAUAGAUGGAUGGAUAGACAGAGGGAUAGAUGGAUGGAUGAUGGAUGGGUAAGUGGGUGGAUGAUAGACAGAUGGUUAUGAUAGAGGGAUGGCUGAUUGGAUGAAUAGAUGGAUGGAUAGAUGGAUGGAUGAACAGAUGGAUGGGUGGAUAGAUGGACAGACGAAUGGAUGGAUGGAUGGAUAAAAUGAUGCAUGAUAGAUGGAUGGAUGAAAAUGGAAGGAAUGGCUGGAUGGAUGAACAGAAGGAUGGAUGAAUGGAUAGAUGAAUGGGUGAAUAUAGUUUGUAUAUGAACAUGAAUCACAUUACCAGUACUUAUCACUGAGAGAAAGUUCUAAGUUGCAGAUGUUCAGAGAAAUUUAAAGAUGCAGACCUAAGAUACAGGCCAGAAGGGCCAUGCUGUCUCUAAGUCCCUGGGUAGAAUCCUUCCUUGCUUCUUCCUAGCUUCCAAUGGUGGCCAUAAAUUCUUGGUGUUCCAUGGCUUGUAGCUGUGUCUCUUCACUCUCUGCUUCCAUCACCACAUGGCCUUUCUCCCUGUGUGCCUCUGUCCGCUCAUUGUUUUCCCUCUU